CACGUAGGAGGCGAGCGUUGUCCGGAAUCAUUGGACGUAAAGAGCGCGCAGGCGGCUUGGCAAGUCGGGUGUGAAAUCCCGGGGCUCAACCCCGUGACUGCAUCCGAUACUGUCAGGCUAGAGGUAGGUAGGGGAGAUCGGAAUUCCUGGUGUAGCGGUGAAAUGCGCAGAUAUCAGGAGGAACACCGGUGGCGAAGGCGGAUCUCUGGGCCUUACCUGACGCUCAGGCGCGAAAGCUAGGGGAGCGAACAGG
rnacentral:rRNA from 1 species